rnacentral:tRNA from 1 species
GGGGUUGUGGCUCAGUGGUAGAGCGCUCGCCUCGCAAGUGAGAGACCCUGGAUUCAAUCCUCAGCAGCACAU